GACGAACGCUGGCGGCGUGCUUAACACAUGCAAGUCGAACGGAAGGCCCUUCGGGGUACUCGAGUGGCGAACGGGUGAGUAACACGUGGGUGAUCUGCCCUGCACUUUGGGAUAAGCCUGGGAAACUGGGUCUAAUACCGAAUAUGAUCAUCAGCUUCAUGGUUGGUGGUGGAAAGCUUUUGCGGAGUGGGAUGGGCCCGCGGCCUAUCAGCUUGUUGGUGGGGUAAUGGCCUACCAAGGCGACGACGGGUAGCCGGCCUGAGAGGGUGACCGGCCACACUGGGACUGAGAUACGGCCCAGACUCCUACGGGAGGCAGCAGUGGGGAAUAUUGCACAAUGGGCGCAAGCCUUAUGCAGCGACGCCGCGUGAGGGAUGACGGCCUUCGGGUUGUAAACCUCUUUCAGCACAGACGAAGCGCAAGUGACGGUAUGUGCAGAAGAAGGACCGGCCAACUACGUGCCAGCAGCCGCAGUAA
rnacentral:rRNA from 1 species